AAUGAACGUUGGCGGCAUGGAUUAGGCAUGCAAGUCGAGCGAGAAGUGUAGCAAUACACGGAAAGCGGCGGAAGGGAGAGUAAUACGUGGGAAUCUGCCCUUAGACCUGGGAUAGCAGCGGGAAACUGCUGGUAAUACCAGAUAAUGUCUAUGGACCAAAGGUGUGAUUCCGUCUAGGGAUGAGCCCACGUCCUAUUAGCUAGUUGGUAGGGUAAUGGCCUACCAAGGCGAUGAUGGGUGGAGGGUGUGAGAGCAUGACCCGCCUCACUGGGACUGAGACACUGCGCAGACAGCUACGGGUGGCUGCAGUCGAGAAUCUUCGGCAAUGGGCGCAAGCCUGACCGAGCGAUGCCGCGUGCGGGAUGAAGGCCUUCGGGUUGUAAACCGCUGUCGAGGGGGAGCAACUUCCAUAGAGUUAUCUUUAUGGAUUGAGUGAUCCCUGGAGGAAGGACGGGCUAAGUUCGUGCCAGCCGCCGCGGUAAAAC
rnacentral:rRNA from 1 species